GCAAGNUCGAAACGGUAACAGCGGAAAGCUUGCUUCCGGCUGACGAGUGGCGGACGGGUGAAUAAUACAUAGGAAUCUGCCCUGUAGUGGGGGACAACCUGGGGAAACUCAGGCUAAUACCGCAUAAUCUCUACGGAGGAAAGGGGGCUUCGGCUCUCGCUAUUGGAUGAGCCUAUGUCUGAUUAGCUUGUUGGUGGGGUAACGGCCUACCAAGGCGACGAUCAGUAGCUGGUCUGAGAGGAUGAUCAGCCACACUGGGACUGAGACACGGCCCAGACUCCUACGGGAGGCAGCAGUGGGGAAUAUUGGACAAUGGGGGAAACCCUGAUCCAGCAAUGCCGCGUGGGUGAAGAAGGCUCGCGGGUUGUAAAGCCCUUUCAGUAGCGAGGAAAAGCUGAGUGUUAAUACCACUCAGUCUUGACGUUAACUACAGAAGAAGCACCGGCUAACUCUGUGCCAGCAGCCGCGGUAAUACAGAGGGUGCGAGCGUUAAUCGGAAUUACUGGGCGUAAAGCGCGCGUAGGCGGUUUGAUAAGUCGGAUGUGAAAGCCCCGGGCUCAACCUGGGAAUUGCAUUCGAUACUGUCAGGCUAGAGUAUGGUAGAGGGAAGUGGAAUUCCAGGUGUAGCGGUGAAAUGCGUAGAUAUCUGGAGGAACAUCAGUGGCGAAGGCGACUUCCUGGACCAAUACUGACGCUGAGGUGCGAAAGCGUGGGGAGCGAACAGGAUUAGAUACCCUGGUAGUCCACGCCGUAAACGAUGUCAACUAGGUGUUGG
rnacentral:rRNA from 1 species